UCAGAGGUGAAAUUCUUGGAUUGCCGGAAGACAAACUACUGCGAAAGCAUUUGCCAAGGAUGUUUUCAUUGAUCAAGAACGAAGGAAGGGGGAUCGAAAACGAUUAGAUACCGUUGUAGUCUCUUCUGUAAACUAUGCCAAUUGGGGAUCGGUACAGGAUUUUUAAUGACUGUAUCGGCACCCGAAGAGAAAUCUUUAAAUGAGGUUCGGGGGGGAGUAUGGUCGCAAGGCUGAAACUUAAAGGAAUUGACGGAAGGGCACCACCAGGUGUGGAGCCUGCGGCUUAAUUUGACUCAACACGGGGAAACUCACCAGGUCCAGACACAAUAAGGAUUGACAGAUUGAUAGCUCUUUCUUGAUCUUGUGGUUGGUGGUGCAUGGCCGUUCUUAGUUGGUGGAGUGAUUUGUCUGGUUAAUUCCGAUAACGAACGAGACCUUAACCUGCUAAAUAGACCAGCCGGCUUUGGCUAGCUGCUGUCUUCUUAGAGGGACUAUCAGCGUUUAGCUGAUGGAAGUUUGAGGCAAUAACAGGUCUGUGAUGCCCUUAGAUGUUCUGGGCCGCACGCGCGCUACACUGACAGAGCCAGCGAGUCUACCACCUUUGCCGGAAGGCAUGGGUAAUCUUGUGAAACUCUGUCGUGAUGGGGAUAGAGCAUUGCAAUUAUUGCUCUUCAACGAGGAAUACCUAGUAAGCGUGAUUCAUCAGAUCGCGUUGAUUACGUCCCUGCCCUUUGUACACACCGCCCGUCGCUACUACCGAUUGAAUGGCUUAGUGAGGCCUCCGGAUUGGCUAUUGGGAGCUCGCGAGAGCACCCGACUGCCGAGAAGUUGUACGAACGUGGUCAUUUAGAGGAAGUAAAAGUCGUAACAA
rnacentral:rRNA from 1 species